rnacentral:tRNA from 1 species
GGCGUAGCUCAGCUGGUUAGAGCGCCGGAUUGUGGUUCCGGAGGUCGCGGGUUCGACUCCCGUCGC